UACGUAGGGUCCUAGCGUUGUCCGGAUUUAUUGGGCGUAAAGAGCUCGUAGGCGGUUCGGCAAGUCGGAUGUGAAAUCUCCACGCUUAACGUGGAGGGGCCAUUCGAAACUGCCGUGACUCGAGUCCGGUAGGGGAGUGUGGAAUUCCCGGUGUGAGCGGUGAAAUGCGCAGAUAUCGGGAGGAACACCAGUAGCGAAGGCGGCACUCUGGGCCGGUACUGACGCUGAGGAGCGAAAGCGUGGGGAGCAAAGCAGG
rnacentral:rRNA from 1 species